rnacentral:rRNA from 1 species
UACGUAGGGUGCAAGCGUUGUCCGGAAUUAUUGGGCGUAAAGAGCGUGUAGGCGGCCUCGUAAGUCCGCUGUGAAAGUCCAGGGCUCAACCCUGGAAAGCCGGUGGAUACUGCGAGGCUAGAGUCCGGAAGGGGCGAGUGGAAUUCCUGGUGUAGCGGUGAAAUGCGCAGAUAUCAGGAGGAACACCAAUAGCGAAGGCAGCUCGCUGGGACGUGACUGACACUAAGGCGCGAAAGCGUGGGGAGCGAACAGG